UAUAUUUUUCACAUCUCUUAAGAAUUUCUCGCUGCUACUACAAGGAAAUUUUAUGUGGCAGCUGUCAGUUUCUGCUUCAGCAACAAAGCUCACUUGUUAGUUAAUCCUAAUCAUGUGCUUUUUUGGCUACUUCCGGUUUUCUUAUUUCAGUUGGUAGUUCAGUAAAUAUUCAUUCGACGCACAAAAGAACAACAUAUUCGUGAUCCUCGUCAAAUUUGUGUGGCAUAGGGAAAGCUGCUGGUGUUUAUGCUCAUUUGAUUCAUUUCGUGCCAGCUACUGAAAGCCGAAAGGCAUGUCGAAUUCAAUUGAGCUGCUGCGUGCUCCCGUGCUGUCUCCCUGUCUGGAAUCAACUAUUAAGCAAUCCAGCCGUUGCGUUCAGUCAUUUGAACAGGAAUCUAAUGGCUGUCAGUAGGUGGCUGUCAAAAGUUGGCUGAAAUGUCCACCAGGUAGGGCUAGUGUCUCCAGGGACUCACGGCUACCAUUUUGUUCCUAGACGCAGCAGAAAUGGGUUGCUGGUCGUGACGUUUCUCAAGAUGAAAAUUAAUGAAAGGUGAUUUGGCAUGUAGAAACCACUUUGCCAAAUCAUUCAACUCAGACUUGGAAAGUUGGAAGUGCC